rnacentral:rRNA from 1 species
UACGUAGGGUGCAAGCGUUGUCCGGAAUUAUUGGGCGUAAAGAGCUCGUAGGCGGCUUGUCACGUCGACUGUGAAAUCCCUCGGCUCAACUGAGGAACUGCACGGGAAACUGCCUGGCUUGAGUUCGGGAGAGGGAAGCGGAAUUCCGGGUGUAGCGGUGAAAUGCGUAGAUAUCCGGAGGAACACCGGUGGCGAAGGCGGCUUCCUGGACCGACACUGACGCUGAGGCGCGAAAGCUAGGGGAGCAAACGGG